rnacentral:rRNA from 1 species
UACAGAGGGUGCGAGCGUUGUCCGGAAUCACUGGGCGUAAAGGGCGCGUAGGCGGUUUAGCAAGUCUAUGGUGAAAGCUCGCCGCUCAACGGCGAGUCGGCCACGGAUACUGCUGAACUCGAGCACUGUAGAGGCAGGUGGAAUUCCGGGUGUAGCGGUGGAAUGCGUAGAGAUCCGGAAGAACAUCGGUGGCGAAGGCGGCCUGCUGGGCAGUAGCUGACGCUGAGGCGCGACAGCGUGGGGAGCAAACAGG